CCCCUCUCAGGAUGGCACCUGGAGGGUUUCCAGGACUCCACCAGUCUCAGCUAUAGGAGGGAGAGUCAAGCAGAGGCCUGUCCAUUCCAUUCCUAGUUUGGGCAGUGGCUAGUGAGUGGAAGACAAUCUGUUACAAGU